GAGCGAGUGAGUUACCCGGGUGGACGCGGCUGCGAGUCCCCGGUUCGGACUGUGUGUGAGGAUGUGUGUUUGACUUUUUAAAGGCACUCUGUGAAGGUCGCUCAUUCAUUUCGUUUUGUUCUUUUUGGGUAAUUUCUUGGUUUGGUUGUUUUAUUUAUUUGUUUUGUUUAAGUGAUUUGUUUAUUUUUUUGGCAACGUACUUAUUAUACUUUAAUGAGUAAUGUUUUAGUUGGAGAUCCUUUUUGUUAGUGCUUUGAAUGAAGUAAUUUUUGGUUUUCUGAGUUUAUCUCUGGCCAGAGAGUCGUAAUUUGUUUCCUUUGGUUGAUUUCUGAUUCAUUUUGAACAUUAUUACCCAGUUAAAUUGAUUAGUUAUUGAUUUGGUUAUGUUUUGGUGUGUUUUCUUUAUGAGUCCCUUGCCCUAAUUGUGUUUCUUUUCCCCCUACAGAGCUGACGGCCAACGGUGGUGGUGGUGGUCCUCUAAGGUGGUGGUGAUCCCUGAGUGUGUGCGUUUUAUUUGACUCCCCGUUUGAAGAUUUAUUUGUGUGCACCUUAUGUUUGUUGUGAGUGGGGUGUUCUCUUUUCUUUGGACGUCACCAGUUUUGACCCCUCCUCUAGCCCGUACGCCUCAGCCUGUAUCCCUGUUUCAGUUGGGCUCUGUUAUUAUCAUAUUUUGCGUCUUAUUAAUUAUGUUGACCUUUUAUCAAUAAAUUUUGUACGUUGAUUAUUGAUUCUCGUCUCCUGCCU
rnacentral:lncRNA from 1 species